rnacentral:rRNA from 1 species
UACAGAGGGUGCGAGCGUUAAUCGGAAUUACUGGGCGUAAAGCGUGCGCAGACGGUUAUCUAAGUCAGAUGUGAAAGCCCCGGGCUCAACCUGGGAAUUGCAUUUGAGACUGAAUAGCUAGGGUACGGAAGAGGGAAGCGGAAUUUCAGGUGUAGCAGUGAAAUGCGUAGAUAUCUGAAGGAACAUCAGUGGCGAAGGCGGCUUCCUGGUCCAGUACCGACGUUCAGGCACGAAAGCGUGGGGAGCAAACAGG